GACGAAGUGGCCGAGUGGUUAAGGCGAUGGACUGUUAAUCCAUUAGGCUCCUCCCGCGUUGGUUUGAUUCCCAUCCUCGUCG